AUUGGACGCUGGCGGCAUGCCUACACAUGCAAGUCGAACGGUAACAGGUUAAGCUGACGAGUGGCGAACGGGUGAGUAAUGUAUCGGAACGUGCCCAGUCGUGGGGGAUAACUACUCGAAAGAGUGGCUAAUACCGCAUACGACCUGAGGGUGAAAGCGGGGGACCGUAAGGCCUCGCGCGAUUGGAGCGGCCGAUAUCAGAUUAGCUAGUUGGUGGGGUAAAAGCCCACCAAGGCGACGAUCUGUAGCCGGUCUGAGAGGACGACCAGCCACACUGGGACUGAGACACGGCCCAGACUCCUACGGGAGGCAGCAGUGGGGAAUUUUGGACAAUGGACGCAAGUCUGAUCCAGCCAUGCCGCGUGCGGGAAGAAGGCCUUCGGGUUGUAAACCGCUUUUGUCAGGGAAGAAACGAGUUUCUCUAAUACAGAGACUUAAUGACGGUACCUGAAGAAUAAGCACCGGCUAGCUACGUGCCAGCCGCCGCAGUAACAC
rnacentral:rRNA from 1 species